rnacentral:rRNA from 1 species
CCUACGGGUGGCUGCAGUGAGGAAUAUUGGUCAAUGGACGAGAGUCUGAACCAGCCAAGUAGCGUGAAGGAUGACUGCCCUAUGGGUUGUAAACUUCUUUUAUAAAGGAAUAAAACGAGGCAUGUGUGCCUUUUUGCAUGUACUUUAUGAAUAAGGAUCGGCUAACUCCGUGCCAGCAGCCGCGGUAAUACGGAGGGUGCGAGCGUUAAUCGGAAUUACUGGGCUUAAAGCGCUCGUAGGCGGUAUGUCAAGUCAAGGGUGAAAUCCCCGAGCUCAACGUGGGAACUGCCUUUGAAACUGGCAGACUGGAGUGUGUGAGAGGAUGGUGGAAUUCGAGGUGUAGGGGUGAAAUGCGUAGAGAUCUGGAGGAACACCGGUGGCGAAGGCGGCUAUCUGGCACAUAACUGACGCUGAGGAGCGAAAGCGUGGGUAGCAAACAGGAUUAGAUACCCUUGUAGUC